CCUACGGGAGACAGCAGUGGGGAAUAUUGGUCAAUGGCCGUAAGCCUGACCCAGCCAAGUCGCGUGAAGGAAGAAGGCUCUAGGGUUUGUAAACUUCUUUUAUAGGGGAAUAACGGUAUACACGUGUGGAUAUUUGCAUGUACCCUAUGUAUAAGCAUCGGCUAACUCCGUGCCAGCAGCCGCGGUAAUACGGAGGAUGCGAGCGUUAUCCGGAUUGAGUGGGUUUAACGGGUGCGUAGGUUGUUUUUUAAGUCAGUUGUGAAAGUUUGUGGCUCAACCGUAAAAUUGCCGUUGAAACUGGAAGUCUUGAGUACAUUUGAGGUAGGCGGAAUGCGUGGUGUAGCGGUGAAAUGCAUAGAUAUCACGCAGAACUCCGAUUGCGAAGGCAGCUUACUAAACCGUAACUGACACUGAUGCACGAAAGCGUGGGGAUCAAACAGGAUUAGAUACCCGGGUAGUC
rnacentral:rRNA from 1 species